rnacentral:rRNA from 1 species
GAUGAACGCUGGCGGCGUGCCUAAUACAUGCAAGUCGAGCGAACAGACGAGAGUGCUUGCACUCUCUGACGUUAGCGGCGGACGGGUGAGUAACACGUGGGUAACCUACCUAUAAGACUGGGAUAACUUCGGGAAACCGGAGCUAAUACCGGAUAAUAUUUAGCUUCGCAUGAAGCAAUAGUGAAAGACGGUUCUGCUGUCACUUAUAGAUGGACCCGCGGUGUAUUAGCUAGUUGGUGAGGUAACGGCUCACCAAGGCAACGAUACAUAGCCGACCUGAGAGGGUGAUCGGCCACACUGGGACUGAGACACGGACCAGACUCCUACGGGAGGCAGCAGUAGGGAAUCUUCCGCAAAGGACGAAAGUCUGACGGAGCAAUGCCGCGUGAGUGAAGAAGGUUUUCGGAUCGUAAAACUCUGUUGUAAGGGAAGAACAAGUACGUUAGUAACUGAACGUACCUUGACAGUACCUUUCCAGAAAGCCACGGCUAACUACGUG